CCUACGGGAGGCAGCAGUGGGGAAUAUUGCACAAUGGGGGAAACCCUGAUGCAGCGACGCCGCGUGAGUGCAGAAGUAAUUCGUUAUGUAAAGCUCUAUCAGCAGGGAAGAAAAUGACGGUACCUGAGUAAGAAGCCCCGGCUAACUACGUGCCAGCAGCCGCGGUAAUACGUAGGGGGCAAGCGUUAUCCGGAUUUACUGGGUGUAAAGGGAGCGUAGAAGGCAGUGGAAGUCUGGAGUGAAAGGCGGGGGGUCAACCCCCGGACUGCUCUGGAAACUGUACGGCUGGAGUGCAGGAGAGGUAAGUGGAAUUCCUGGUGUAGCGGUGAAAUGCGUAGAUAUUAGGAGGAACACCAGUGGCGAAGGCGGCUUACUGGACUGUAACUGACGUUGAGGCUCGAAAGCGUGGGGAGCAAACAGGAGUAGAUACCCGAGUAGUC
rnacentral:rRNA from 1 species